rnacentral:rRNA from 1 species
UGGAUCCAGACUUUGAUCAUGGCUCAGGAUGAACGCUAGCUACAGGCUUAACACAUGCAAGUCGAGGGGAAACGACAUCGAAAGCUUGCUUUUGAUGGGUGUCGACCGGCGCACGGGUGAGUAACGCGUAUCCAACCUGCCCAUCACUUGGGAAUAACCUUGCGAAAGUAAGACUAAUACCCAAUGAUAUCCCACGAAGGCAUCCGAAUGGGAUUAAAGAUUUAUCGGUGAUGGAUGGGGAUGCGUCUGAUUAGCUUGUUGGCGGGGUAACGGCCCACCAAGGCAACGAUCAGUAGGGGUUCUGAGAGGAAGGUCCCCCACAUUGGAACUGAGACACGGUCCAAACUCCUACGGGAGGCAGCAGUGAGGAAUAUUGGUCAAUGGGCGAGAGCCUGAACCAGCCAAGUAGCGUGCAGGACGACGGCCCUAUGGGUUGUAAACUGCUUUUAUAAGGGAAUAAAGUGAGUCUCGUGAGACUUUUUGCAUGUACCUUAUGAAUAAGGACCGGCUAAUUCCGUGCCAGCAGCCGCGGUAAUACGGAAGGCCCGGGCGUUAUCCGGAUUUAUUGGGUUUAAAGGGAGCGUAGGCUGGAGAUUAAGCGUGUUGUGAAAUGUAGAGGCUCAACCUCUGCACUGCAGCGCGAACUGGUCUUCUUGAGUACGCACAACGUGGGCGGAAUUCGUGGUGUAGCGGUGAAAUGCUUAGAUAUCACGAAGAACUCCGAUUGCGAAGGCAGCUCACGGGAGCGCAACUGACGCUGAAGCUCGAAAGUGCGGGUAUCGAACAGGAUUAGAUACCCUGGUAGUCCGCACGGUAAACGAUGGAUGCCCGCUGUUGGCCUGAAUAGGUCAGCGGCCAAGCGAAAGCAUUAAGCAUCCCACCUGGGGAGUACGCCGGCAACGGUGCAACUCAAAUGAAUUGACGGA